GGGAGGGACCUUGGUCUUAUCGUUAUCUCGAGGGGGGGCAGCCACCCUUAUAACUGGCUUUCUUCAUGGUUCUCUAAAAAUUAAGGCUUUCCUUGCGAGACGAGAAUCUUCACCAUCUGAAUCACGAAUGAGGACUCACUCGAGCUGCAUAUGGUGCUGCUGGAACUGGAGGAUGUGGAGAAACAGAUCCGUGACCUACUCAACAAGCAGGCCCAGCUGCUGGAGCGAAGAACCGCGCUGGAAACAUCUUGUGCUUCUGCCUACACAUCCAAGGGACCGUGCACCCAAGACUUUUCCAGCCGAGGUCUCAGUCACACCGGCGCCGACACACCGCGGACCUUGG
ensembl:lncRNA